rnacentral:rRNA from 1 species
UCUUGCGCAAUGGGCGAAAGCCUGACGCUGCCAUGCCGCGUGAAUGAGGAAGGUCUUUGGCAUGUAAAAUUCUUUCACCCGGGCCGAUAAUGACGGUACCCGGAGAAGACGCCCCGGCCAACUUCGUGCCAGCAGCCGCGGUAAUACGAAGGGGGCUAGCGUUGCUCGGAAUUACUGGGCGUAAAGGGCGCGUAGGCGGAUCGUUAAGUCAGGGGUGAAAUCCCGGGGCUCAACCUCGGAAUUGCCCUUGAUACUGGCGAUCUUGAGUAUGAGAGAGGUAUGUGGAACUCCGAGUGUAGAGGUGAAAUUCGUAGAUAUUCGGAAGAACACCAGUGGCGAAGGCGACAUACUGGCUCAUUACUGACGCUGAGGCGCGAAAGCGUGGGGAGCAAACA